CAAAAUGUAGUUUAGAGAGAAUAUUAAUUUUGGAGAUUAAAGGUAUAAUGAUAAUUGUUUUUUUGA
rnacentral:tRNA from 1 species